rnacentral:miRNA from 1 species
CAAAGUUGAUCGUGUUUAUGACGUCGAAUAUCGACGUCAUAAACACAAAAGUUGAUCGUGUUUAUGACGUCGAAUAUCGACGUCAUAAACACCAAAG